CAAGGUUUCCGUAGGUGAACUGCGGAAGGA
rnacentral:rRNA from 1 species